rnacentral:rRNA from 1 species
GAUGAACGCUGGCGGCGUGCCUAAUACAUGCAAGUCGAACGAGGUGCUUUUGUAGCAAUACGAGAGUAUCCUAGUGGCGAACGGGUGAGUAACGCGUGGAUGACCUGCCCCAAAGUGUGGGAUAACAGUCCGAAAGGAUUGCUAAUACCUCAUGUGGUUAUCGGUUUUAGAAAGCGAUAACUAAAGCAGCAAUGCGCUUUGGGAGGGAUCUGCGUCCCAUCAGCUAGUUGGUGAGGUAACGGCUCACCAAGGCGACGACGGGUAGGGGACCUGAGAGGGUGGCCCCCCACAAUGGAACUGAAACACGGUCCAUACACCUACGGGUGGCAGCAGUAGGGAAUAUUGCUCAAUGGGCGAAAGCCUGAAGCAGCAACGCCGCGUGUGCGAUGAAGGCCUUGGGUCGUAAAGCACUUUCUAAGAGAUGAGAAAGGACAGUAUCUUAGGAAUAAGUCUCGGCUAACUACGUGCCAGCAGCCGCGG